rnacentral:rRNA from 1 species
GACGAACGCUGGCGGCGUGCUUAACACAUGCAAGUCGAGCGGUAAGGCCCUUUCGGGGGUACACGAGCGGCGAACGGGUGAGUAACACGUGGGUGACCUGCCCUCAGCUCUGGGAUAAGCCUGGGAAACCGGGUCUAAUACCGGAUAUGACUCCAUGACGCAUGUUNUGGGGUGGAAAGCCUUGUGCGGCUGAGGAUGGGCCCGCGGCCUAUCAGCUUGUGGUGGGGUNAUGGCCUACCAAGGCGACGACGGGUAGCCGGCCUGAGAGGGCGACCGGCCACACUGGGACUGAGACACGGCCCAGACUCCUACGGGAGGCAGCAGUGGGGAAUCUUGCGCAAUGGGCGAAAAGCCUGACGCAGCGACGCCGCGUGAGGGAUGACGGCCUGUGU